rnacentral:rRNA from 1 species
UGGGGAAUUUUGGACAAUGGACGCAAGUCUGAUCCAGCCAUGCCGCGUGCGGGAAGAAGGCCUUCGGGUUGUAAACCGCUUUUGUCAGGGAAGAAACGAGUUUCUCUAAUACAGAGACUUAAUGACGGUACCUGAAGAAUAAGCACCGGCUAACUACGUGCCAGCAGCCGCGGUAAUACGUAGGGUGCAAGCGUUAAUCGGAAUUACUGGGCGUAAAGCGUGCGCAGGCGGUUAUGUAAGACAGAUGUGAAAUCCCCGGGCUCAACCUGGGAACUGCGUUUGUGAAUGCAUAACUAGAGUACGGCAGAGGGGGAUGGAAUUCCGCGUGUAGCAGUGAAAUGCGUAGAUAUGCGGAGGAACACCGAUGGCGAAGGCAAUCCCCUGGACCUGUACUGACGCUCAUGCACGAAAGCGUGGGGAGCAAACA